UGGGCGAGGAGCUGGCUAAGAUGAGUGACUGCCAGACUUCCAGGUUCUGGGCCUCAUGGUGCCUGGUGGGCUCAGACUGAGCCAGAGCCAGAGGGCUCUGGGUGGGGGUUGGGACCGCCUGGCUGUGGUCCCCACAGUGGCUGUGACUAAGAGAGGAAGGGGCAUCUGUGGUCGGACGUAGAGGGUAGUCUCUAGAAAGAAAAACCCCUCCCCAUUUCACUUCUCUUGACCCUCGGAGAGUGGCGAAGGGGCCCCGGAGAUGGGAGUUUUUCUGGAACGCGGCCCAGGAGAAAGAUUCUCUCCACUGCCCACCCCACAGAGGCGACACUGGCAACUGGUCUCUGCUCAAAGUUCAUCUCAGAGAAGCCUUCCCUGGCCACCUCUCCAACGCAGCAGGCCCAUCCCAUCCGUCUCUCUGCGCCCUGGUCCAGGUAUCCUGCGGCUCUGACCAUGACCUGAUAUUACACUUUGGCUUGUCCGCUUCCCUCAUUGCGCAGCCUGCCGCGAGGGCAUGAACCUCACGUGUCAGAGCCGGACUAGGAUGAGGUCUUGGCUGUGGCGUGUGGGAUCUAGUUCCCUGACCAGGGAUUGAACCUGUG
ensembl:lncRNA